GUUUAAUUCGAUGCAACGCGAAGAACCUUACCUACUCUUGACAUCCACGGAAUUCGCCAGAGAUGGCUUAGUGCCUUCGGGAACCGUGAGACAGGUGCUGCAUGGCUGUCGUCAGCUCGUGUUGUGAAAUGUUGGGUUAAGUCCCGCAACGAGCGCAACCCUUAUCCUUUGUUGCCAGCACGUAAUGGUGGGAACUCAAAGGAGACUGCCGGUGAUAAACCGGAGGAAGGUGGGGAUGACGUCAAGUCAUCAUGGCCCUUACGAGUAGGGCUACACACGUGCUACAAUGGCAUAUACAAAGAGAAGCGAACUCGCGAGAGCAAGCGGACCUCAUAAAGUAUGUCGUAGUCCGGAUUGGAGUCUGCAACUCGACUCCAUGA
rnacentral:rRNA from 1 species